rnacentral:rRNA from 1 species
GUUAGUAGGUUGGUCAUGCCUCUGGUAUGUACUGGUCUCACUGAUUCCUCCUUCCUUAUGAACCGUAAUGCCAUUAAUUUGGUGUUGCGGGGAAUUUGGACUGUUACUUUGAAAAAAUUAGAGUGUUUAGAGCAAGCUAACGCUUGAAUACAUUAGCAUGGAAUAAUGAAAUAGGACGUUCGAUCUUAUUUUGUUGGUUUCUAGGAUUGACGUAAUGAUUAAUAGGGAUAGUUGGGGGCAUUAGUAUUCAAUUGUCAGAGGUGAAAUUCUUGGAUUUAUUGAAGACUAACUACUGCGAAAGCAUUUGCCAAGGAUGUUUUCAUUAAUCAAGAACGAAAGUUAGGGGAUCGAAGACGAUCAGAUACCGUCGUAGUCUUAACCAUAAACUAUGCCGACUAGGGAUCGGAUGA